rnacentral:tRNA from 1 species
GGGGGCAUGGUGCAGUGGUAGAGUGCCUGUCUAGAAAACACUAGGUCUUGGGUUCAAGCCCCAAUGCUCCA